rnacentral:lncRNA from 1 species
GUUUGUGGAGUAUGAGAAGCUGAUAUAUUUGGACGGAGACAUCCAAGUGUUUGAAAACAUAGACCAUUUGUUUGAAAUGCCAAGUGGAUACUUCUAUGCAGUGAUGGAUUGCUUUUGUGAGAAGACAUGGAGUAACUCUCCACAAUACAAAAUUGGGUAUUGCCAACAAUGCCCUGACAAAGUGAAAUGGCCUGUGGAGGAAAUGGGAAACCCACCACCACUUUACUUCAAUGCUGGAUUCUUUGUGUAUGAACCUGAUCUUUUCACUUACAAGGAUCUUCUUGAGACUUGCAAGGCCACCACUCCAACUUUGUUUGCUGAGCAGGUAAUCUCAUUCAUUUUAUUUACACUAAUACUUAUUUGCUAGUUGAGUCGUGUUGCCCCUUUUUUAGUCCACGAAAACAAACAGGACAAAGAACAAAAACAAAAACAAUGCUCGUUGGGUGGAAGUCGGUGGAACCAUGUGGUUAGAUCACUAGCUAGAAAAAAUGGCUUCUGGCUGGUGGUCAAGUAUUGCUCUUAAACCGAUCUCUCUCUUUCUUUUUCUUUUAUGAGAAUUUGUGUUUGGAUGUGUCUGUUUUAGCUUUAAAAAUGUCUAAUAAAUCUUUGUAAUUUGAACUUUUUGUUUAGUGUGUAACUAAAGUAUUAAAUAAGUUAAGAAUUAAAUAGUUUAUAUGAUAUAAAAUGAAUUUUAUUUAUAACAAAUACCAUUAAUUUUUCAAUUUUGCAUCAACGGGAAUGAAUCAAGAUCUAUAAGAGACAAAAUUAAGGAUGUAGAGAUCUAAUGGUCACAAAAUUUAAACUAAAGUUAAUUUAACCGUUUUUCUAUUGUUUGUUUCUCCUAUAGGACUUUUUGAACAUGUACUUCAACGACAUAUACAAGCCCAUUCCUCCAAUUUACAACCUCGUCAUGGCCAUGUUGUGGCGUCAUCCCGAGAACAUUGACGUCGACAAAGUCAAAGUUGUCCAUUAUUGUGCAGCGGUACAUAUUCAACUUAUUUUAGUGUUUGUACUUUCCGCCCAAGUUUCUACGUCACGUAUAAUCAAUUAGUUAACUUUGAUAUCAUUAUUGGAAUGUCAUACUUGUAGGGAUCGAAACCAUGGAGGUACACGGGAAAAGAAGAGAACAUGGAGAGGGAAGACAUAAAAAUGCUGGUGAAGAAAUGGUGGGAAGUUUAUGAAGAUGAAUCUUUGGAUUACCAAAAUGUCCUCAAAUCUGAAACUAAACAAGAAACUAACCUCACACCUUUGAUCUCUGUUCUGUCCGAGGCUGAAGUUGUCAACCACAUCACAGCUCCUUCUGCUGCUUAAGUAUAUGUAUAUUUAUAUAUAUAACAUAUAUAAAUAUAUAUAUAUAUAUAUAUAUAUACAUUAUAUAUAUAUAUAUAUAUAUAUAUAAAAUAUAACAUAUAAGUAUGACAUAUAUGUAUAUUUAUAUAUAUAACAAUCAUAUAUAUAUAUAUACAUAUUAUAUGUAUUAUAUGAGUGUUUGUGGUGUCAGACAAAUAUUAAUUAUGAUAAGUACUUACAGUUAAGUGGGUACUUAAUUAAUUAAGCUUUUUAUGUAUAGUAGCUUUGGUUGGGGGAUGUGUGUGUAUGUGUGCAAACCCCAACCUUGUUCAUGGCUACAUUACUUUAAAUUUCUAAAUUUUAUGGAAUAAGGCUGGUUUUAUAUCUGCCUUCCCUUUUUGCUUUAUUUUUCAUCUUCUCUUCAUUAAUUACUACAAACUAAGCUUAAUUAUGCUAACUUUUCCUUAAUUAAGGAUAAGUAAUACUCCUGACAAAUUAAAAUGGUUUCUAUUUGAGUAUAAUUUAACGGUAAAAGCAUCAAUCAUCAUCUAAACAUAUAUCGGGUAAAAGCCACAAAUAGUGAUCUUAUUAAAUAUAUAAUCAAUACAAAAAAAUAUGGUUAAUAAUAACAUAUAUUAAUCUUUUAUUAAUAAUCUCAACCAAUUUAGAGAGUAAUGAAUGAUUACUAUUUGGUUUUAAAUAUAGUUGAAUAAUAUAACUAAAUGACGAGUAUUCACGUUUUAUCUUUUAUUACAUCAAAUUAUUGAAUAUUAUUAUUUAGUAGAAUUAAAAAAUUUGACAAAAAAAAAUUACAAAGCAUAGCAAAAAUUUAUUAUUUUAAAUUAUGUUAAAAGUAGACGUUGAUAAAAGAAAUAUAAUGCAUGUGUUUAUAAAUAUUUUAAUUUAUUUUACUUGUAUCUUUUAUAUUUUAAAAAAUAAAUUGCUUUAUAAAGUUUUUUUUAAAAAAUAGAAAUGGAUUUGGUGGGGGUAUAAAUAAUAUUGGGCCGAAACGGAACCGGGAAUUCACCGCGGCUCAAAAUUUCGACUCAAAGACCUAAACCUCGCGAGAGAAAAACCUUCCGAGUUCCGAUGGCUACCACCAACAACCUCCAUGG